rfam:Gossypium hirsutum cultivar TM-1 chromosome 10, whole genome shotgun sequence
UGUUAAAAAUUUCACCCAUUUCUGAUCUUAAAAAUCGGCUUGGCUGAUGAAAUAACCGACAGUCACACGUGACAUGUCACGUGUACCUUAUGCUGGCAUAUAGGGACCAAUUUUUAACAAUAAAAAGAGACGAAACUUUUAACA